AAAGUUGAACGGUGGUACAAACGAGGAAAAAAGAAAUAAACCCUACAAAUUCUCCACGCCAUGGGACAGGUGACUGCAGGUCAAUGAAGCUGUACAUGUAAUAAAUCUCGCCCAAUGGCCACUUUUGAGGGUGUGAGGAUAUAUAAUUUGAGCCGAAAGUAGACUAAGUUACGAGGACAAACUGUCAAGGCGAUCGUCAAAAUUUACAAACCUUGAAAAAUUUUCGGUCCUUCCCACCGCGCAUACUUUGUAAUGUAGGUGAAGAUUAUCGAGGAAUUUACGAUACGUGCGAGAUUCGUUGUCGCUAUGUGUUAUCAUUAUUAGGUACCUACACCUAGGUACCUCUACCUAGGUAUUGAUAAAUAUUUGUAUAAUCUUAUAUGUACGUAUAUGGCUGAAUUGAUUCUCGUUCUAGUCGUAUACGAGUAUGUACUCGUGCUGUGCAGGAUUAUUAAAUAUCAUUUGGCCCGAAUCCUUAUUAUUCAAACCUAUUAAUGAUUGUGGGAAAGUAUGCACAUACACAUAAGAGUACACACGUUUUUAGCUUUAUGGCGAUACACAGCAUUAGUUUAUUUGCAUUAACAAUUAAGUGUAUCUAUCUAAUAUCUAUAAUAUAGAGGUUAGGUUAGGUUGUGGUAUAUAAUCUCGGCUCGAGUUGCAGGAUGGCCCCAGGUGGAUGCGUAUAUUCUGCCACGAUUAAAUCAUCGCGUUCGACCACAUGUGUUCUUUAUAAGUAGGUAUAUUCAAUAAAGAAGUUUCGAUACGAUGAAAAAAAAAACUGAAAAAGAAAGAAACAGAUGCCAGUGUGAGUGUAGAAAAAAACCCCCCAAUGGCGGGCCAUCUUAUAUACCUCUAGACCUCUACAUAGGCAGUGUACAAAUAAAAUGUAGGUCACCUAGCACUACCUACUGGAUUCCACAAUCGGUAUAUUGAAUUUAUUAUACGCCGAAAUUUUUCGCAUCGCCUACGAUAAUUAUAAUAGUCGCGAAUAGCACCGCCAAAACAAAUAAUAUAUUCUUCGGGUCGAAUCGAAAAGGAAGAAGAAGAGGUGCAGUGGAGAAAGAAUCAGCAGUAAAGAAAGGGGAAGGGGAGGAUAGAAUACAGAAUUAGUUAUUCGUAUUUACUUUACGUAUGUAUGUAUUUAUUACGAAACAUCACGACGAAUAAAUAAAUCAAUCAUCGAAUUAGUAAAUUUUUUCGUUACAUGCGAUCAUCUUGGCUGUUUUUAUUUUUUUUAGGUACUUCUUUCUUCAAUCUUUGGAAUUAUUCGGGAAUCCUUCAACCUUGCAGGUGAGCAAUUGCGCGGUAGUUCGCGACGCGUUUAUGAAGCGAGACAGGUGGAGAGGCGUGGAGAAGAGGAAAAUUCCAGUAAAGGCCGUUUGGCGGACGAACGGGUUUGGUUGACUUGAGAGUAUUACCUCUACAGCUGCGAGAUAGUUUUCUCUUCAUAGGGUAGAUUUUCACGAUCGAUGGCAUAUAAGGGAAGUUUACAGAGGUGGUCAUUGUACAUAGGUAGCUUAUGGUAGAUCCCUGAAAUGGUGGAUUGGCGUAUGUAAAAGACAGAGACAUCGCUGUGUGUCCUAGAACCUGCGGGUACGCCAGAUCGAUUCAUUAUCCGAGCAAAGAUUACAGACCAAAGACUAAAGAGUGGGCCGGUACGCGGCGCGAUGAUAAGGACCUUCGAUGGAAGCAUAACUCUCGGUGGCGUACCAUACAUAUACCAUACAAUAUUGUCGAAUAGGUAAUUAUCGAUAAUAAGGGGCCAUAGGGAUGGCCUAGAUUUGGCCCAGGCCCGGACGAUCUUCUGCGUUGGCAUUGCCCGUACCAGCCGCUGGACAAAGUCACGGAUCUUCGUAUUGUCGUCGUCGCUGGGUCGCUGCAGACAUCGAAGCCCAGACCAGACCAUCUCGGUCGUCGUCGUAUCGUGAAAUUCUCACGAACUCAGCAACAACAAUGCGAUCGAUGCAAGUUGGCAAUGCACGAGUAGCACGAACGAAUGUCAAUGGUACACCGCGGUUGCUCCGAUGCCUAAUGGUUUAUUGUACUCGUAGUACCUGGCUACCUGACUCUGUCGAUGGUGUUUAUGUAACCUUCGAUUGUAUUGAAAAGAGUAUUAUUUGGUCGGUAUAGUGCAGCUUGUAUGUACCUCAUAAUGGCGCACGUUUUGCGAAUUUGCAGACCAUGGCAAUGAAUCAGAUGCAGGGAUAUAGUUUUUAAACAAUCAGACAUUGUACUUGGAAUUAGAUGCCUAGAACCCUCACAUUUUUCUAUACAGAAGUUCAGAUCAACUUCAUUAUUGACAAAGAAAAAAAAUGCU